UACAGAGGUCCCAAGCGUUGUUCGGAUUCAUUGGGCGUAAAGGGUGCGUAGGCGGCGCGGUAAGUCGGGUGUGAAAUCUCGGAGCUUAACUCCGAAACUGCAUUCGAUACUGCCGUGCUGGAGGACUGGAGAGGAGACUGGAAUUUACGGUGUAGCGGUGAAAUGCGUAGAUAUCGUAAGGAAGACCAGUGGCGAAGGCAGCUCGCUGGGACGGUACUGACGCUAAGGCGCGAAAGCGUGGGGAGCGAACAGG
rnacentral:rRNA from 1 species